ACUGGCGCCAGACUUUUCAGACAUGGAGCCAGCAGUUGGGCCAGACAACUUUACAUCGAAGUCCCAUGUGGUGGAUGAAGAAGGAGAAGUAAUUGUGAUCAGCGAAGACCGUGUGGUGGAUGAUACCUACCGUGUGGAUGGCUUUGAGAUCCACGAUUUUGUGAAACAAAAGGACUGUGUAACAUUUAGGACAAAUGUUAAAAGUGAAGAGGUCUUUGAACGCUGGAAAAAUGCAUUUUUCCUAAAGAAUAAUGUGUGCUUCAAUUCAUUCAAGAUGUUCUCUGUAGGAAAAAUGAAAUUAUUUCGCCAACAACUGAUGUGUCACCAUGGCAAAGAGACCCACGCGGGCAUCAAGAAGACCUACACAGGUUGCAAGGUGUUCAUGGAUGCUACCAUCCGGUUGGUUCAUGCAAGAUCUCCUGAAGAUAUAAGAAGUUUUCCAUGCUUCAUGAAGAUUACUGGACAGCAUAACCACCCCUUAGAUACAGCUGAUGUAUUAAAUCAGCUGAGAGUUUCUCCAUGCACCAGAGAGAUGUUUGAAAACUAUUUCAGACAAGGUAUGGCACCUGGACAAGCCUACAGGCACCAUUUGCUGAAGAUGGAACUCGACGAAGACUUGUACAAUCAAGCCAAGAAAUCAAUAAAUCCUUCUCCGAAGUCCGUCGAGUAUAUGUGGAGUACAUGGAAGAAAAAGGAACAUGGAGGACUGAAUACGCCGUCAAUGUUUGAUGCCAUCAAGACAUACGAUGAAAAAAUACGGACCUCAUUAUAAAGAUACACAAUGAAGGGAAUCAAUUUGCAGUUGUUUUGGUCACCCCAUUCAUGAUGAGGGCACACAAGCUGUUGCAAGAAGCUGGAGAAGUUGUAUUUGUUGAUGCAACAAGUUGUGUUGAUCAGGUCAACAGAGCAGUGAUACCACUUCUCUGUUCAGGACCAGCUGGGGCUGUACCAUUGGCUGUCCUGUUCACCUCAUCUCAAGAUGAAGCAACACUAACAAAAGGAUUUGGUAUGGUAAAGGAGGCGAUUGGGGAGGAUGGAUUUUUUGGUCAAGGAGGUCCACAAAAUUUCAUGACAGACAACUGCAAUGCAGAAAGAAAUGCAUUGGCAGCCAUUUGGCCUAAUUCAAAACAAUACCUCUGCAUUUUUCAUGUUCUCCAACAAGUAUGGCGCUGGCUUCUUGAUUCUAAACAUGGAAUCAAUAAGAAUGAUAGACAAGAAUUGAUGAGUGCAGUUAAACUACUUCUUCAUGCCGAGUCAAUUGACAGAUUUGAAGAUCAACUGGAGAAAGUUCAGCACCAUCCUCUUCUUCAGAAAUAUCCCAAUUUCAA